rnacentral:rRNA from 1 species
UGCAAGUCGAACGAACUCUGGUAUUGAUUGGUGCUUGCAUCAUGAUUUACAUUUGAGUGAGUGGCGAACUGGUGAGUAACACGUGGGAAACCUGCCCAGAAGCGGGGGAUAACACCUGGAAACAGAUGCUAAUACCGCAUAACAACUUGGACCGCAUGGUCCGAGUUUGAAAGAUGGCUUCGGCUAUCACUUUUGGAUGGUCCCGCGGCGUAUUAGCUAGAUGGUGGGGUAACGGCUCACCAUGGCAAUGAUACGUAGCCGACCUGAGAGGGUAAUCGGCCACAUUGGGACUGAGACACGGCCCAAACUCCUACGGGAGGCAGCAGUAGGGAAUCUUCCACAAUGGACGAAAGUCUGAUGGAGCAACGCCGCGUGAGUGAAGAAGGGUUUCGGCUCGUAAAACUCUGUUGUUAAAGAAGAACAUAUCUGAGAGUAACUGUUCAGGUAUUGACGGUAUUUAACCAGAAAGCCACGGCUAACUACGUGCCAGCAGCCGCGGUAAUACGUAGGUGGCAAGCGUUGUCCGGAUUUAUUGGGCGUAAAGCGAGCGCAGGCGGUUUUUUAAGUCUGAUGUGAAAGCCUUCGGCUCAACCGAAGAAGUGCAUCGGAAACUGGGAAACUUGAGUGCAGAAGAGGACAGUGGAACUCCAUGUGUAGCGGUGAAAUGCGUAGAUAUAUGGAAGAACACCAGUGGCGAAGGCGGCUGUCUGGUCUGUAACUGACGCUGAGGCUCGAAAGUAUGGGUAGCAAACAGGAUUAGAUACCCUGGUAGUCCAUACCGUAAACGAUGAAUGCUAAGUGUUGGAGGGUUUCCGCCCUUCAGUGCUGCAGCUAACGCAUUAAGCAUUCCGCCUGGGGAGUACGGCCGCAAGGCUGAAACUCAAAGGAAUUGACGGGGGCCCGCACAAGCGGUGGAGCAUGUGGUUUAAUUCGAAGCUACGCGAAGAACCUUACCAGGUCUUGACAUACUAUGCAAAUCUAAGAGAUUAGACGUUCCCUUCGGGGACAUGGAUACAGGUGGUGCAUGGUUGUCGUCAGCUCGUGUCGUGAGAUGUUGGGUUAAGUCCCGCAACGAGCGCAACCCUUAUUAUCAGUUGCCAGCAUUAAGUUGGGCACUCUGGUGAGACUGCCGGUGACAAACCGGAGGAAGGUGGGGAUGACGUCAAAUCAUCAUGCCCCUUAUGACCUGGGCUACACACGUGCUACAAUGGAUGGUACAACGAGUUGCGAACUCGCGAGAGUAAGCUAAUCUCUUAAAGCCAUUCUCAGUUCGGAUUGUAGGCUGCAACUCGCCUACAUGAAGUCGGAAUCGCUAGUAAUCGCGGAUCAGCAUGCCGCGGUGAAUACGUUCCCGGGCCUUGUACACACCGCCCGUCACACCAUGAGAGUUUGUAACACCCAAAGUCGGUGGG